GACGAACGCUGGCGGCGCGCUUAACACAUGCAAGUCGAACGGUGAACCGGGCUUCGGCCCGGGGAUCAGUGGCGAACGGGUGCGUAACACGUGGGCAACCUGCCCCUCACUCUGGGAUAACCCCGGGAAACCGGAGCUAAUACCGGAUACUCCGACCGGUCCGCAUGGUCUGGUCGGGAAAGGUCCGCCGGUGAGGGAUGGGCCCGCGGCCUAUCAGCUUGUUGGUGAGGUAACGGCUCACCAAGGCGACGACGGGUAGCUGGUCUGAGAGGACGACCAGCCACACUGGGACUGAGAUACGGCCCAGACUCCUACGGGAGGCAGCAGUGGGGAAUCUUGCGCAAUGGGCGAAAGCCUGACGCAGCGACGCCGCGUGGGGGAUGACGGCCCUCGGGUUGUAAACCCCUUUCGGCAGGGACGAAGCGAUCGUGACGGUACCUGCAGAAGAAGCCUCGGCUAACUACGUGCCAGCCGCCGCGGUAAGAC
rnacentral:rRNA from 1 species